CUUGAAUUAAAAUAAAUAAUAACGGGUUUCAUCUUCAUCCAAUACAUGAGAAAAAUUAGCCUAACAUAUUGUUGGAGUUAAACACAUAAAAUUGGAAAGACAUCACCGAGAAAUUGACGGAAAGUGAAUUUAUUUUUCAAAUUCAUGUUGCGCCGUCUUUUCCUUUCAAGUAAGCUCCAACAGCCGUUUUUUUUUCUCCAAUGUAUCACGAUUUCCAUGUGUAUAUAUACUUGAUGAACAGCCGUGUAUAUAUGUAUGUAUUUCAGCAGCCUUGUAUGUCUUCAUGAUGCUCACAACAGCCCUAUUAACUUUCAAAACAAGAUCCAAUUCUUCUCCAAUUUCUCAGCCCAAUUGUUGUGUGUUUUACAAUUAAUUCCAGCAGCCUAUGUAUGAAUAUGAUAUACACCAGCAGCCGGCAGUUCUAUUCCCUUCUUUUCUCUCUUGUUUUCCAAGCAGCCGACAAUUGUAUGUGCUUCCCCAAAUUCAGCAGCUGUCUCCCCUCAAUUAUUUGUGUUUUUUGUGCGUUUAUAUCUUGCAAAUUCAGCCCCCAACUCCUGCCAUUUUUUUCUGUAGGUUUUCUUCUUCUCCUUCUCUUUUUCUCCUUUGUUGGCUGCCCGAAAAAUUC
rnacentral:lncRNA from 1 species